rnacentral:lncRNA from 1 species
CAGGAUCACUUUCCCGGGCCCCGCCCCUUUCCUUCUCGGAGCCCCGCCCCCGGCUCGCGGCCCCGCCCCCUGCGCAGUGCACGCGUCCGUGGCUGCGGCAGCGGCCGCGCGGUGCGGGGAGGGGAGUGGCCGGCGCUGCGCCUGUCUGGGCCGAGGGCUCCCCUGAGGCGGCGGGCGGGGUCUCGCGCCAGCCGGACAUGGCCGCGGAGCGCGGGGGGCUGCUCCCUGGAGGCGCUGCCGCUGCCGCCCGAGGUGCGCGAGAGCCUGGCCGAGCUGGAGCUGGAGCUGUCGGAAGGAUUACCAGAUCCACAUUUCCUCUCUAUUCUGGAGAACCUUGUCAAGCCAUUCUGAGGACAGGAAUAGUGUUGGAUCUAUCCUCUGAAACGGAUCUUUCUGCUGGUUCAUUUUUUCUUGCAGAUGUAGCCUUCAGAAAUGAUAGAUCCUGUCAGUUGGCUGAUAUUUGA